UUUCUUAGUAGAUAUUAGCUUUUAUUUACUAAGCUUAUGAUUAACUUAGUUUAAAUUCUUAAAACUAAAACUUUAAAACUUUAAGUUAGCUUAAGUAUAAUCAAAGCAUCGACACCAGUCAUACUCUAAGAGGGCAUUGCAAAUUCAAAACCUUUUACAAUGUUAUGUAUGUUUCUAGUUGGUUUCAACUUGUGUUUUAUUAAAUACGCAAUUUUAGAAAUACAUUCUUGCAUUGUAUGUCAAAAUUUAACAUCCUAUGUUUAUGAAGAAAGUCAUAGUUUGAAACCUUCAAAUCUCAAGAAUUUAUUAAAGCUUUCUCUUCCAAAAGAUGUAUGUUUGCAACCAGAUAAACAAGCUGCAUUUAAAUUGAAACAUUUUGAACAAGUAUAUGAUGAUAAAAAUUCAUGGUUAUCAUAUGUUGCAUAUUUUUCAAAAAAAGUUAAAUCAAUAUUUUCUGAAGAGUGUCUACUAUGUUCAAAGAAAAAAAAGAUUUUAUCUGUUCAUUGCAGUAAUCCUUUUUAUUCAGACGCUCUAACAAAGUUAAUUUAUGGUUCUUCAGUUAAAUUUAAUUUAAAAGAUACUAUGUGUUAUAUACCUCAAAGUGCUAAAAACUCUAAAAAAAAGCAUUCAAGCAUGUUAGUGAAUACUUUUGAUUUAAAUAAAGUAGGUUCAAUAGAUAGAUAUUUAAAACAAUUGACAAGCAACUCACUAAAUUCUUUAAAAACAUUGAAAAACAACACAUUAAAAUGUUUUAAAAAGAUAACUGAUAGCUCAAUAAACAGCAAAAAUAUAAGAUUUACCCCAAUAUUAAAUCAUUCUUCUGCAUUUGAUGUUUGCACAAUAUCUCAAAACAAAAAAAUAUCUUAUUUAAAAAAGAAUAACAAGAUGAAACUCAUUGACUUCAAUUUGACCUCUGAUCUAAGUCAUUUAAAGAAAUCUGCAACAAUGAAGGAUUAUUACAUUCAUCUAAAAAAAUCUGCAACAAGGAAGGAUUACAUUCAUCUACAAAAAUCUGCAAGGUUGAAUGAUUAUAAAAAUAUGAUGACAAAUUUCAAAUUUAAAACUAUAAAAUUUGAAAAGUUAGAUAAAGAAAAAUUAAAAGAUUCAUGCAUACCCAAUGUUUGUUUUAUCAACGAAAGCUGGAGUUGUUUAUUAACAGACUUAAAAUCUUUUUCUCUACAUAAUACGUCUUUGUCCUCACUAGUUCACUUUCGCCAAAAUAAUAUAUCUUUAAACAAUAAUAUCAGCAACCAAAAUAUAUCUCUAUCACAUGAUAUCUACCAAAAUAGUUGCAUUGAUGAUAGUAUUCCGAAAUUCGAUUUAAAAAAUAUAAAUGCUGGAAUGUUUGUUAAAAAUGUAUCUCUUCUUAAAAGAAGACUUACAUACAAAUAUAUUUAUAAAUUUAUUUCUUGGAAUAAAGUUUACAUACAAAGAAUGAAAAAACACGAUAAAAAAGUAUUAAUUACAGGUGAUACCAUCAAUGGAUUUUUAAUUAUCUUGCUGCUAAACUUUAUUAUAACAUUUAGGAAAACCAAUCCAGCUAAAAAAAUCCAUGAAACAACAUUAGUAGGCAAGUUUGUUGAAAAAAGUUAUUACCAUGAACAAAAAGCUGAAAAGUUUGAAGAACCUUUACGAAAGUUAGAUUGGAGAAAAUUCGAUUUAGAACUUUUGGUGGCAAUAGUUGAAAUUAGUAAUAUAACUCCCAGAGAAAGUUAACCAUUCUUUAGUUACUGAAGAGAGUUAACCAUCCUUUAGCUCCAGAAGAAAGUUAACCAUUCUUUAGCUCAUGAAGAGAGUUAACCAUCCUUUAGCUCCCAAAGAAUCCCAAUUAACCAUCCUUUAGCUUUUGGAGAAUGUUAAGUAUUCCUUAGAGAACAUCAAACAAUCCUCUAAGGGUAGAUUAAGAAUCAACAAUCAUGAAAAAAAUAUUGCAAUAAUAAACUAUAGUAUUAAACAAAAUAUUCUGCACAAUAUGACAAAAAAACAAAGCAACAACAUAGAAAGAAUUGUUAGAAAAUGUAGAAAGAAUUGUUGAAAAAUGUUGAAAGAAUUGUUACAAAAUGUCAAAAAAAUUGUUAGAAAAUGUUGAAAGAAUCGUUAGAAAAUGUUGAAAGAAUCGUUAGAAAAUGUUGAAAGAAUCGUUAGAAAAUGUAGAAAGAAUUGUUGAAAAAUGUUGAAAGAAUUGUUACAAAAUGUUGAAAGAAUUGUUACAAAAUGUUAAAAGAAUUGUUAGAAAAUGUUGAAAGAAUCGUUAGAAAAUGUUGAAAGAAUCGUUAGAAAAUGUUGAAAGAAUCGUUAGAAAAUCAUUCUAAAAGUAAAAUAUCUAGAGCAAGUUGGUUUUGUUUUACCAGAUUUAACAAGAAAUCAUGUUUCCAUCAUUGCAUGUUUUCUUUUAAACUUAAAAAAAAUUGGCUUGUUUGUUAUCAGUAAUGGUAUUAAACUAAAAAUUUUAAAUAUUACAUGAAGAUAAAUACAAUCAAAUUGUUGAAUUAAAAUGCACAUAUCAUAACAGUUUAACCUAUCUAUUUAAGUUAUCAAGGGUGUUUUAAAACAAUAUAUAAAGCUGUUUGUUUGUUGUUUUUUUUUUUUUUUUUUUUUUUUUUUUUUUUGAGCUUUGAUUGAGUAGUAAUUAAGUUUACUAGGUCUUGGUUUUAGUUUAUUUCUAGAUCUUGGUUAGAAUCUGUAUAUUUAUAAGAACUAAAUGUUUAACAAAAAGUAAAUAUUUUGAUGGUUUUAUUGCAAAAUGCUAGCUAUUAUAAUUCGUUUUUUGAGAAUGAUUUCUUGUUUUGUAAGUAUUUUUUAUUUAAUCUAAAAAUAAUUUUUAUUUAUUUAAAGUCACACAUUUCUUGAAUCCUAAGCAAUGUUUUAGCUUUUUUUUUUUUUUUUAAUUUCAAAAUACAUAUUGCUUUUUGGUAGGAUGUUUGUUUUUAUAUAUUUUUUAAAAUUGUAUUAGAAUGUGUUAUCCUUGCACACAGUUUUAGCAAAAAAUAGAAGUUUUUAUAGGCUUAAAUUAUUUCAUCUCGUUCCUAAAUUGUUUUUGGUUUUUUCUUAUGAAAAUGGCUUUACGUUGUCAACGACUUUUUUCUAACAGGAAGUUUAACUUUGUAAGUAUGUUGUCACCAUUUUGCUCUGCUGUUAUUGAUGUUGUCCACGAACCAAAAAAUAAUCGGUUUGUGAUACAUUUAGAUAAAGGUGAAUGUGUACUAGAUUAUUUAAUGAC